rnacentral:rRNA from 1 species
GGCGGCACGCCUAACACAUGCAAGUCGAGCGCUACCUUCGGGUGGAGCGGCGGACGGGUUAGUAACGCGUGGGAACGUACCCAGAUCUGCGGAAUAGCCUUUGGAAACGAAGAGUAAUACCGCAUACGCCCUUCGGGGGAAAGAUUUAUCGGAUUUGGAUCGGCCCGCGUAAGAUUAGAUAGUUGGUGGGGUAAUGGCCUACCAAGUCUACGAUCUUUAGCUGGUUUGAGAGGAUGAUCAGCAACACUGGGACUGAGACACGGCCCAGACUCCUACGGGAGGCAGCAGUGGGGAAUCUUAGACAAUGGGCGCAAGCCUGAUCUAGCGAUGCCGCGUGAGUGAUGAAGGCCUUAGGGUCGUAAAGCU